rnacentral:rRNA from 1 species
GCCUUGGUUUGGUCAGCGGCGGACGGGUGAGUAACACGUGGGCAACCUGCCCGCAAGACCGGGAUAACUCCGGGAAACCGGAGCUAAUACCGGAUAACACCGAGGACCGCAUGGUCUUCGGUUGAAAGGCGGCCUUAGGGCUGUCACUUGCGGAUGGGCCCGCGGCGCAUUAGCUAGUUGGUGAGGUAACGGCUCACCAAGGCGACGAUGCGUAGCCGGCCUGAGAGGGUGACCGGCCACACUGGGACUGAGACACGGCCCAGACUCCUACGGGAGGCAGCAGUAGGGAAUCUUCCGCAAUGGGCGAAAGCCUGACGGAGCGACGCCGCGUGAGCGAAGAAGGCCUUCGGGUCGUAAAGC